rnacentral:hammerhead_ribozyme from 1 species
AUGUACCUGACGAGACCCAGAUUGCAACAUGAAUGCAACACAUAUUGAACGGAGAACUAUACAUAAGGUACAGUAGCAGGAUGGGUCGAAACGACCGUUGUACAA